GGCUGUUCCCAGGGAUUUAGUCUGGGGGGACAACCCAUGGCGAGAUGUGGUGGCAUUUUACCUCAGAGUGGAGCUGAAGAUGGAUAAACAAGUUCUGGAGACCAGAAGGCCAAAAUCAAAAGUAUGGGCAGGCUUGAUUUCUUUAGAAGACUCCAGCGGAGAACUGUGUCUCCUUGCUUCUGAUUCUACAUCUCCAUCCAUGGGCCACUGUUUCAGCAACCUCAGCCAGUGCAACACAACCUCAGCCAAGAAGAGUAUGCAGAGAAAGGAGUCCCCUACCUGCCACAAAACUGUUGUCUGAAAACUGUCUCAUAUUGUCUCAAGUUGUCAUUCAUUGUGAAUUAGACCUGUUUAACAUGUAAUCUGCAACAUGCUUCACUGUCUAAUUUUCCAGAGCCCCUCAUAUAAGGAACUGUAUUAUUGGUAUAAUCAUCAUGGUGAAGAAGUUGGUAUGUGGGGGAGAGAUGACAGAAACAGAGAGUAAGUCAGAGCUGGCUGCCUGACAGAUAAAAAGGAAAUGACCAAAAAAAAAAAAAAAGACACAGAAGAAUACUUUGUUGUCCACACAGAAAAGGGAAGUGUAGGGCACCGAGGAAGAGAACCAAUGGCAGAGGCCACAUGUGCAAGCAAGAUGGGAGUCUGGAGAGCCUCAGGCUAAAUCACGAGUGCUCAGCCCUCUCCUCUUUGUAAGGGCAACCGGGUCAUAUCUGCCAGCAUAGAACUGCUCUGUCCACAGCCCUAAAAUCUAAUACCUAGAACAAUAAAUGCACUUAAGCACGUCAAACUCUCUCAACCAGUGAUGAAAUCUGUCACUAGCGAAGGGACUUGUCCCAAGGGAGCUGAACACCUGCCGCUGCACCCUGACAAUGUAUAAGAAACAAGCACCACUGUGGAUGCAGCCCCAGAGGCCUAGUGUCAUGGGGGUGCAAGGCCCUGCUUCAGGCUGGGGGCCUGGGGAGGGGCUGGUACCUCUCUACCUCCUGCAGCUCCUGUUCCUCUGGCUCCUGGUGAAAAUCUGGGUCUGAACCCAUAGCAAGUGAGGGCCACAAGGCUUCACCUUCUGAGAUGCAGCUAGAAGAAACAGCUGGUAUAAUAUAUGGUCAUGCACUACCUAACUACGUUUCCUCAACAUGGGACUGCAUAUAUGACAAUGGUCUGUCCCGUGAGAUUAUAAUAAAGCUGAAAAAUUUCUAUCACCCAGUCAUAUCAUAGCCAUAGUAAUGUCAAGGCCCAAGGUAUUGUGUGUCUGUGGUGAUGCCGGUGUAAACAAACUUGCCACACUGCCAGUCAUAUGAAUAGAGCACAAACAAUUAUGUAAUAUAUAGUACUUGAUCAAAAUACACAACUAUAUUUCUGGUUUAUGUAUUUACUAUACUAUACUUUUAAUCAUUAUUUUAGAGUGUACUCCUUCUGCAUCUAUGUGUCAACUGCAAAACAACCUCAGGCAGGUCCUUCAGGAGGUAUUCCAGAGGAAGGCAAUGUAAUCACAGAUGACAGCUCUAUGCAGGUUAUCACCCCUGAAGACCUUCUACUGGGACAAGAUGUGGAGGUAGAAGACAGUAAUAUUGAUGAUCCUGACCCUGUGUAAGCCUAGGCUAAUGCAUAUGUGUGCUGUGUCUUAGUUUUUACCAAAAAGUUUAAAAAGUAAAAUAAAAAUAGGAAAUAGCUUAUGGAAUAAGGAUAUAAAGAAACCAUUUUUGUACAGCUGUACAUGUGUUUGUGUUUUCAGCUGUGUUAUUACAAAAAGGUCAAACUUUAAAAAUAAACAAGUUUAUAAAGUAAAAAGAUUUCAGUAAAGUACAGUAAGGUUAAUUUAUGGUUGAAGAAAAACAUUUUAAAAAUAAAUUUAGUGUAGCCUAAGUGUCCAGUGUUUCUAAAGUCUACAGUAGCGUGCAGUCAUGUCCUAGGCCUUCACGUUCACUCACCACUCACUCACUGACUCACCCAGAGCAAAUUCCUGUCCUGCAAGCUCCAUUCAUGGUAAGUGCCCUACACAGGUGUACCAUUUUAACCUUUUACAUCAUAUUUUUAUUGUACUUUAAACAUAUCUACAUUUACAUGUUUAGAUACAUAGGUGUUUACCAUUGUGCUACAAUUGCCUAUGGUAUUCAGUACAGUAACACGCUGUACAGGUUUGUAGCCUAGGAGUGAUAGCCUAUACCAUACAGACUAGGUGUGGUAGGUUGUACCAUCUAGGUUUAAGUAAGUAUACUCUAUGAUGUUCCCACAACAACAGAAUUGCUGAAUGAAGCAUUUCUCAGAAUAUAUCCCCAUGGUUAAGCAACCAAUGAGUGUAUUUUCUGUCUACCUUUCACCUCCAUAAUAUAUAUAUUUUUCUACAUUUCUCAUGGUAGAGGGAAAGAGCAACAGGACUUCCAGAAAAAAAACUAAUGUGUCUUCAGACUUCUGCUUGUAUGUGGCUCAUGUUAUAUCUGAGCGUAUGCUACUGGACAAAGUGAGUCACAUAGCCAAGGCUUACAAUGGGAUGGGGAAGCAUACUUCAUUUCUGUGAAGGCACUCUAAGUCACAUGGCAUCAGUGGGGUCAUCUUGUUCUUUUAUAGUGAAGAGGGGAGUAAAUAAUAGAGGACAAUAAUACAGUCCACCAAAGAUACUGAGGCCAAUUAUAUCCAAAAAGCAAGAUCAGUUUGGUGGAAUGACUUACUAAUGCACUGAGAUGCCCAUAUGCCCAUAUUCCCUGCCAAACAGUCUAAAUGGAAAACUAGAAUCCUAAUUAAAAUGAGAAAAGGCGUGUCACAAAGCUUCCUUUAUUGUAGAGCAGUUGAGUUGUGAUGUUCGUUACUAGAUUUUUUUUAUUAGCCUGUUGUUAGUUGUAUGUAUGCCUUCUAUUUAUUAAGCACUUAUUAUGAGCCAAGCAUAGUAGUAAACCUUUUUCUGACCUUAUUUAAACCUAUCAACAGUCUCAAGUUGGAACUAGGUCUCUUUCCAUUUACAGAUAAAAAUAUUAAAGGACAGAAUAACUAAGCAACUUGCCCAAAGUCACAGGUCCCUGCUCUUAUCUGCUAUAUUUUCUUUCUCUAUUUUUCUUUUUCGUGUAAUACAGAAAGCCCAUGAUCAUCCUGAUGCCUCCUCUGUGUGGAUAUCGCAGGAAUGGCAACUUACGACCUUAUGAAGUAGUUUAUUCUAAUUUAGGGUAGCUCAAAUUACUAGAACAAAUAUUUAAUGGGCCUUUAAUCUUCUACCCCUAAAAUUUUUUCCAGUUGGUUCUAGUUUUAUCUUAUGGAGCUAAAUGUAUGGAAAAUGAUUCAAAGAACCUUCCUUCAAGUAGUAGAAAUCAUCUUCUAGAUUUUAUCUUUCCCAAUCUAAAAAUACAUUGUUGUUUCAACAAUUCCAUGAAUAACAUGGAUUGUGGAUUUUUAUCAUCCUGGUUACUUUUCUCUUGGACUGCCAAACAUUUAAGUGCGGAACAAGAACUGUCUGCAAUAAAACAUAAUGAA
ensembl:lncRNA CASC15 cancer susceptibility 15